UACGGAGGGGGCUAGCGUUGUUCGGAAUUACUGGGCGUAAAGCGCACGUAGGCGGCUUUGUAAGUUAGAGGUGAAAGCCCGGGGCUCAACUCCGGAAUUGCCUUUAAGACUGCAUCGCUAGAAUUGUGGAGAGGUAAGUGGAAUUCCGAGUGUAGAGGUGAAAUUCGUAGAUAUUCGGAAGAACACCAGUGGCGAAGGCGGUCUGCUGGGCCAAGACUGACGCUGAGGCGCGACAGCGUGGGGGAGCAAACAGG
rnacentral:rRNA from 1 species